rnacentral:tRNA from 1 species
GGCUCAGAAGGUAAAGCGUCUGCCUGCAAUGCAGGAGACCUGGGUUCGAUCCCUG